GAUGAACGCUGGCGGCGUGCCUAAUACAUGCAAGUCGAGCGAACAGACGAGGAGCUUGCUCCUCUGACGUUAGCGGCGGACGGGUGAGUAACACGUGGAUAACCUACCUAUAAGACUGGGAUAACUUCGGGAAACCGGAGCUAAUACCGGAUAAUAUAUUGAACCGCAUGGUUCAAUAGUGAAAGACGGUUUUGCUGUCACUUAUAGAUGGAUCCGCGCCGCAUUAGCUAGUUGGUAAGGUAACGGCUUACCAAGGCAACGAUGAGUAGCCGACCUGAGAGGGUGAUCGGCCACACUGGAACUGAGACACGGGCCAAACUCCUACGGGAGGCAGCAGUAGGGAAUCUGCCGCAAUGGGCGAAAGCCUGACGGAGCAACGCCACGGGAGUGAUGAAAGUCUUCGGAUCGUAAAGCUCUGUUAUUAGGGAAGAACAAAUGUGUAAGUAACUAUGCACGUCUGGACGGUACCUAAGCAGAAAGCCACGGCUAACUACGU
rnacentral:rRNA from 1 species